rnacentral:rRNA from 1 species
GCUAGCGAUGCUAGCCCGUUGAACACACCAGUUUCGGACGGAUCACCGAAGUUAAGCAACGUUGGGCGUUCUUGGUAUCCAGAUGGGUACCCAUCACCCAUCUGGGCAAUUGCGUGCUGCCAGUG